UAGCAGCGCCGGGCAGCUAAGUUGGUAUGGAAGAACUGCUGCGCCGCGGGAAAUCCUUCUCUAUACAAGUUCUCGUACGAGGUUUUUGAACAGAACUUCGAUAGGCGAGAGGUGUAAGCACCGCGAGGUGUGAAGCGAUCUCGUACUAAACGAAUGGAAAUUGACAACAA
rnacentral:ncRNA from 1 species